UCACCAGUCUCCUACAGUGGGAACCAGUCC
rnacentral:piRNA from 1 species